GGGGAUUUAGCUUAGCGGCAUAAGCGCCUGCCUUGCAAGCAGGCGGUUGUGAGUUCAAUCCAUGGUACCGA
rnacentral:tRNA from 1 species